AACGAACGCUGGCGGCGCGUCUUAAACAUGCAAGUCGAACGAUCUGUAGCAAUACAGGGAGUGGCGGACGGGUGAGGAACACGUAGGAAUCUACCUAGAAGAGCGGGACAACUUUGGGAAACCGGGGCUAAUACCGCAUAGUACAGAGAUGUUAAAGGGCUAGCAAUAGUCGCUUCUAGAUGAGUCUGCGGUCUAUCAGCUUGUUGGUGAGGUAAUGGCUCACCAAGGCAGCGACGGAUAGCCGGUCUGAGAGGAUGAUCGGCCACACUGGCACUGAGACACGGGCCAGACUCCUACGGGAGGCAGCAGUUAAGAAUCUUGCGCAAUGGGGGAAACCCUGACGCAGCGACGCCGCGUGAAGGAUGAAGGCUUUCGGGUUGUAAACUUCGGUAGACUGGGAAGAAGAACUACGUUCGUUGAGGGCGUAGAGUGACGGUACCAGUCUGAAGCCCCGGCUAAUUACGUGCCAGCAGCCGCGGUAA
rnacentral:rRNA from 1 species